rnacentral:misc_RNA from 1 species
UUUCCGUAGGUGAACCUGCGGAAGGAUCAUUCAUAAUAAAGUGUUUUAUGGCACUUUUUAAAAAUCCAUAUCCACCUUGUGUGCAAUGUUAGAUCUCGUCAAUCUUGGCGAGAUUUUUAUACAUCAACUCAUUCUUUAACUAAUUUGUCUGAAAAAUAUUAUGAGUACUUAAUUCAAAAUACGACUUUCAACAACGGAUCUCUUGGCUCUC